UACGAAGGUGGCAAGCGUUACUCGGAAUUACUAGGCGUAAAGGGCAGGUAGGUGGUUCAGUAAGUCUGUUGUGGAAGCUCUCGGCUUAACCGGGAGAGGCCAACGGAAACUACUGGGCUUGAGUGUAGGAGAGGGUAUUGGAAUUCCCGGUGUAGCGGUGAAAUGCGCAGAUAUCGGGAGGAACACCAAUGGCGAAAGCAGAUACCUGGACUAUUACUGACACUAAGCUGCGAAAGCUAGGGGAGCAAACAGG
rnacentral:rRNA from 1 species